rnacentral:rRNA from 1 species
AUUGAACGCUGGCGGCAUGCCUUACACAUGCAAGUCGAACGGUAACGGGUCUGUGGGUGCCGACGAGUGGCGAACGGUGGUGUAAUACAUCGGAAUGUGCCCGAUCGUGUGGGUGAACGAGUCGAUAGCUUUGCUAAUACCGCAUACGAUCUACGGUGUGAUGCAGGGGACCGCAAGGCCUUGCGCGUGCGUUUGUUCGGAUGGCAGAUUAGGUAGUUGGUGGGAUAAAAGCUUACCAAGCCGACGAUCUGUAGCUGGUCUGAGAGGAUGAUCAGCCACACUGGGACUGAGACACGGCCCAGACUCCUACGGGAGCACGCAGUGGGCACAUUUGGACAAUGGGCGCAAGCCUGAUCCAGCCAUGCCGCGUGCAAGAUGAAGGAAUUCGGGUUGUAAACUGCUUUUGUACGGAACGACAAAAAAUCUUUUAAUACAGGAGGGUCAUGACGGUACCGUAAGAAUAAGCACCGGCUAACUACGUG